AUGACAGAGACGCACACUUUUGGGGAGAGGAAGGAGACCUGUAACCAGUCGAGUCCCAGCAAGAAACCUACACCGAUUGCUAAUUGGAUUCCAGCUGAUGUCCAUCAUUCAUCAGUACUGAGUGAAUGCUACAGAGAUCCAAGGUGUAUAAGACGGCAAAGAAAUAAUGUUGGAGGACUGACGGCUACGCGCUCACUCUUUGUCCUGAUCCAGAUCGUUAUGUUACGUCCUGUGGACGUAUUUGUGAAUGUGCGCUCUUGGGAGAGUGAUUUCACCUACUGGGCAAGUUAGACAUUGCAUGUUUUCUUCUCCUGCUCUUUCUGUCUCUCUCUGUUAUAGAUUGCUAAUUGGAUUCCAGCUGAUGUCCAUCAUUCAUCAGUACUGAGUGAAUGCUACAGAGAUCCAAGGUGUAUAAGACGGCAAAGAAAUAAUGUAAAAUAUCACGGCAGAUACACAUAACGCGCAUGUAAACAAACGCUGGUUAUGCACGCACAAUCAAUCGAAAAUAAUUAUCAUAUCUGCAAAUGCCGGCAAGAUUACAACUUAAUCUCAAUACUAAAUAUAAUUUACCAAGAACAACUCACUUAUAGGAUGCACGCACACAUAUUAUGCUUGUAUUGGAUCAGCUAAUGUCUCUUCUCUUCAACUUUGCUGCGCAAUGGUAAAAUGGCGAUAAGACUUAAAAGGGCAACACAUCUUAAAGGGGCAACAGGUCUUUAAAGGGUCAUGCAUGCAAGCCGUUUGUACAGCCGCCCCCUGAGACUCCAAGGCACACAGGGGAUAGGGUCCAUCAUUCAUCAGUACUGAGUGAAUGCUACAGAGAUCCAAGGUGUAUAAGACGGCAAAGAAAUAAUGCUGGAGGACUGACGGCUACGCGCUCACUCUUUGUCCUGAUCCAGAUUGGUGUUAUUUUGUGUAUCUCAGUGGGACCAAGUGUGGUCUUUAUUACCUCUGAACUUUGUGAAUUAACUUGUUAAUUACAAACUAUGAGAGUGUGUGUGAACGUUAUGGUGGGUGUGUUUAUGAUUCUUUUGUGUUAUUUUCUAAUUCAUGUAAAUACCUUUGUUUGUCUUUCUUAGGAAGCGGUAGGGAGAGGGUGCCAUUUGUUUUGGAUAUAAAAUUUUGUUUAUGUUUAUGGUAGACAGGGAGAUAGGUAAGACUCUGUCAUUUAUUUUAUUUUUCUUUAGUUAAGGUUAUUUAGAGUUUUUGUGUUUAGCUAGAGGGUUUUUUGUUUGUUAUGUUGGCCUGGCCCUCUCCUGAAGAUUUGCUUCCUUUUGUUAUUAAUAAAUUAAGUUAUUUGCUUAAUUUAGUGGCUGUGCUUUUCUGGAUCAGGGGAUUGAUGUGACCGUCAGUACUUUUUAUUUAUUUACAUUUUCGUUACGACUUCAUUUAACCCCUAGACUAACAGUGUAGAAGUGAGUUCGUUUAUUUUUCGGAUCGCAAAUUGGAAGUUUUGCUCUGUUUGUCCAAGACUGAAGUCUGUUUGUACGAUCGUGAUUCGAUGGGUCGCGGUUUGUGUAUGGUGAGUUUUUCUCUCUUCCUCUAACGUUUUGACUGUUUUCAUUUGUGGGUGGGGAAGGAGUAA
rnacentral:lncRNA from 1 species